rnacentral:misc_RNA from 1 species
CCGAGUUUACAACUCCCAAACCCCUGUGAACAUACCUAUACUGUUGCCUCGGCGGAUCAGCCCGCUCCCCGGUAAUAAAGGGACGGCCCGCCCGAGGACCCCUAAACUCUGUUUUAUAGUGUAACUUCUGAGUAAAACAAACAAAUAAAUCA